GUUUCUGUAGUGUAGUGGUUAUCACGUUUGCCAAACACGCGAGAAGGUCCCCGGUUCGAAACCGGGCAGAAACU
rnacentral:tRNA from 1 species